GAUGCUUGAUGUAACAGGAUGGAUACUGGUAUUAUUAGGGAAUGAUCCGUUAUUUAUUGAUGUGUUGAGGCCAUCGGUUUAACUGUAGUUAACUGUAGCACAAAGUUAGAUCAAUCGGACUGAAAGUGAAAGAGUUACAGAGACGAUAUUGGAAUGUGUACUGAUCUAAAACACUUCUCACUAAUUUUUGGAUAUUUUAAGUUCCGAUGGGGUAACGUUAGCUUCUGAUAAUCAACCAUUUUUGA